GUCUCAAAGCUUCAAUACUUAAGUGCGCUAAUUGAAUCUUGAAAUUGGAGAGGUUAGAACAUAUUCAGGACCCUUUGGUGGGAGUUGGAACCUUCACUGAGCAUGGUUUAACUCUUGGAGAUGUGUUUGUUUUGAACAUAAGUUCAUGAGUGAACAUUUUUCUAUGGCAGAUGUAGAGACAAAUGAGUGCUUGGAUAAUAGUGGGGGUUGCUGGCAAGAUAUAGGAGCCAACAUCACAGCCUGCAAGGAUACAUUCCGUGGGAGGGUAUGUGAAUGCCCCCUGGUUAAUGGUGUGCAGUUCAAAUGAGAUGGCUACAGCCACUGUGAAGGUGAGAUUGUUGUACAUUUAGUCUCUAUAUUUGUGUAAGUUUAAUUAAGAGAUGAAUUUUAAUCUGAUGAAUGCGUUAUUUGAGAAUCAUCGUUUCUUUCACAUAUUGUGAACUUGAGAGUUCUGCUGACUAAACCAAGGAAAUGAUGUUAAUGUUAUAAUAUUUUGAUUUA